GUACUGAUGAAGAGUCCCAAACUAGGCGAAACAGUUGUCCAGUAC
rfam:Trichobilharzia regenti genome assembly, scaffold: TRE_scaffold0125859